AUUGAACGCUGGCGGCAGGCCUAACACAUGCAAGUCGAGCGGAUGAAGGGAGCUUGCUCCUGGAUUCAGCGGCGGACGGGUGAGUAAUGCCUAGGAAUCUGCCUGGUAGUGGGGGAUAACGUCCGGAAACGGGCGCUAAUACCGCAUACGUCCUGAGGGAGAAAGUGGGGGAUCUUCGGACCUCACGCUAUCAGAUGAGCCUAGGUCGGAUUAGCUAGUUGGUGGGGUAAAGGCCUACCAAGGCGACGAUCCGUAACUGGUCUGAGAGGAUGAUCAGUCACACUGGAACUGAGACACGGUCCAGACUCCUACGGGAGGCAGCAGUGGGGAAUAUUGGACAAAGGGCGAAAGCCCGAUCCAGCCAUGCCGCGUGUGUGAAGAAGGUCUUCGGAUUGUAAAGCACUUUAAGUUGGGAGGAAGGGCAGUAAGUUAAUACCUUGCUGUUUUGACGUUACCAACAGAAUAAGCACCGGCUAACUUCGUG
rnacentral:rRNA from 1 species